AAUGAACGUUGGCGGCGUGGAUAGGCAUGCAAGUCGAGCGCGAUAUGUAGCAAUACAUGGAGAGCGGCGAAAGGGAGAGUAAUACGUAGGUAUCUACCCUCGGGUCUGGGAUAGCAGCUGGAAACUGCUGGUAAUACCAGAUAACGUCUCCGGACCAAAGGUGUGAUUCCACCUGAGGAGGAGCCUACGGCCUAUUAGCUAGUUGGUAGGGUAACGGCCUACCAAGGCAAAGAUGGAUAUGGGGUGUGAGAGCAUGCCCCCACUCACUGGGACUGAGACACUGCCCAGACACCUACGGGUGGCUGCAGUCGAGAAUCUUCGGCAAUGGGCGAAAGCCUGACCGAGCGACGCCGCGUGCGGGAUGAAGGCCUUCGGGUUGUAAACCGCUGUCGUAGUGGAGGAAAUGUAGGAGAGUUAUCUCUUCUACUUGACUAAUACUAGGAGGAAGGACCGGCUAAUCUCGUGCCAGCAGCCGCAGUAACAC
rnacentral:rRNA from 1 species